rnacentral:rRNA from 1 species
GACGACGCUGGCGGCGUGCCUAAUACAUGCAAGUCGAGCGGAAUGAUGAAGAAGCUUGCUUUCUUCUGAUUUUUAGCGGCGGACGGGUGGGUAACACGUGGGCAACCUACCUUGUAGAUUGGGAUAACUCCGGGAAACCGGGGCUAAUACCGAAUAAUCCAUUUUGCUUCAUGGCGAGAUGUUGAAAGACGGUUUCGGCUGUCACUACAAGAUGGGCCCGCGGCGCAUUAGCUAGUUGGUAGGGUAAUGGCCUACCAAGGCGACGAUGCGUAGCCGACCUGAGAGGGUGAUCGGCCACACUGGGACUGAGACACGGCCCAGACUCCUACGGGAGGCAGCAGUAGGGAAUCUUCCACAAUGGACGAAAGUCUGAUGGAGCAACGCCGCGUGAGUGAAGAAGGUUUUCGGAUCGUAAAACUCUGUUGUAAGGGAAGAACACGUACGAGAGUAACUGCUCGUACCUUGACGGUACCUUAUUAGAAAGCCACGGCUAACUACGUG